rnacentral:tRNA from 1 species
UAGAAGGUGGUGUAGAGGGAGCACUAAGAGUUUUGAUCUCUUUGGCAUAGGUUCGAUUCCUUUCUUUCUAA